AUACAUACAUACAUACAUACAUAUGAGUUAAGCUGAAUGCUAUCGGUAGCAAACGGACUCAUUUGCCACACAUUUGUUUUCGGUAAUGGAGCCUCCAAAUUGACUAUCAGUACUGUUAAACAUAAUCUAUACUACUUAAAAUAUCUAGAAACUAAAUUUUAAAUCUUUUUGACAUCAUUGACCAACUGAUCAAAGGGUUUCAAAAUUUUUAAUUUUAAUGGUCGAUAUGAGGCGUUUUCUCGUUUAACAGUGUAAAGAUAUAUCCAAAUCAAUUAAAUUUUGGUUAAAAAAUUCUUUAAACUAUUUAGAACAAGAUCUAUACUCUCAAUCUUGAUUACAAGAUUCCUAUCAUACUGACCGUCCCUAGAGCAAGUGGCAAAAGGCUUAGUGGCUAGUACCCGAGACCCAAGUUCAAUUCCUGGUUGAUUCACAUUUCUAGCUAAAUUUAUUUCUAAAUGAAAUAAACGAAGCGGGUAGCGUGCUACCUAUCUCUCAAAAAAAAAAAAAAGAUUCCUAUCAUUACUUUUUUAAAAAAUUCAUU
rnacentral:lncRNA from 1 species